rnacentral:tRNA from 1 species
GAGUCUGUGGCUCAAUGGUAGAGCGUUCGACUCAAAUACCAAAGGUCGCGGGUUCGAAUCUCAGGUGCG